GUCUGUAUUAUGGCAACUUACAUUGCCCCUGUUGGGGGCUGGGAGCAAGCUGUUACUUACCUUUACAGCAGCUCCUGUCAGCUCCCUUCUCCUCCGUGCUGUUCAGCUCCACUGUAAGUCUCACGAGAGCUGCAGCCGUCAGAGCGUUGCCACUGAUCACCGUGGCAACGCUCCGCAUGGCACGCAGACAGCGAGAUUUACAGUGGAGCUGAACGGCACAGAGGAGAAGGGAGCGGACAAGAGCUGCUGUAAAGGUAAGUAACAGCUUGCUCCCAG